rnacentral:rRNA from 1 species
CACGCUGUAAACGAUGAAUACUAGGUGUCGGGGGUCAAAGCCCGGUGCCGCAGCUAACGCAUUAAGUAUUCCGCCUGGGGAGUACGGUCGCAAGACUGAAACUCAAAGGAAUUGACGGGGACCCGCACAAGCAGCGGAGCAUGUGGUUUAAUUCGAAGCAACGCGAAGAACCUUACCAGGUCUUGACAUCCCUCUGAAUGGCGCAUAGCAGCGCAGGUCUUUCGGGACAGAGGAGACAGGUGGUGCAUGGUUGUCGUCAGCUCGUGUCGUGAGAUGUUGGGUUAAGUCCCGCAACGAGCGCAACCCUUGCCUUUAGUUGCCAGCACGUUAUGGUGGGCACUCUAGAGGGACUGCCGGUGACAAACCG